GGGCCCGCACAAGCGGCGGAGCAUGCGGAUUAAUUCGAUGCAACGCGAAGAACCUUACCAAGGCUUGACAUAUAGAGGAAAAGUGCAGAAAUGCACUCCCCGCAAGGUCUCUAUACAGGUGGUGCAUGGUUGUCGUCAGCUCGUGUCGUGAGAUGUUGGGUUAAGUCCCGCAACGAGCGCAACCCUCGUCCUAUGUUGCCAGCACGUAAUGGUGGGAACUCAUGGGAUACUGCCGGUGAUAAACCGGAGGAAGGUGUGGAUGACGUCAAAUCAUCACGGCCCUUACGUCCUGGGCUUCACGCAUGCUACAAUGGCCGGUACAGAGGGCUGCAAUACCGCAAGGUGGAGCGAAUCCCAAAAAGCCGGUCUCAGUUCGGAUUGAGGUCUGCAACUCGACCUCAUG
rnacentral:rRNA from 1 species